GUCCACGCCGUAAACGAUGGAUGCUAGUCGUCGCGGGUAUUGACCCCUGCGGCAACGCAGUUAACGCAUUAAGCAUCCCGCCUGGGGAGUACGGCCGCAAGGCUAAAACUCAAAGGAAUUGACGGGGGCCCGCACAAGCGGUGGAGCAUGUGGUUCAAUUCGACGCAACGCGCAGAACCUUACCUGGGUUAAAUCCACCGGAACCCUGCAGAGAUGUGGGGGUGCCCCGCAAGGGAGCCGGUGAGAAGGUGCUGCAUGGCUGUCGU
rnacentral:rRNA from 1 species